CAGGAGCUGCGGCGGCGGCUGCUCUUUUUUGCAGCCGAAGUCCGGCCUCAGGAUGUUGUCGAUGAAAAAGUUGGUGGUGCGGUGCAGCUGGGCCGCGGGCUGCGGCUGAAUCAACAAAACAAGAAAACUGUGUUGACUUUGCAGUGUGAACACAUCGGGGAUCCGAGUCAUGGGGCCAGUGAGAACACAACAGCUGUUCAUGUGGAAGGCCACCAGAAGACCCAGGCCCCAGAUUUCGCCCAGUGUCAAAGAAAGGACGAAAGAAGAACCGAGGCUGGAGAGAACGCUGUAGCCACGGACACUCUGAGCACCCCCCUCCUCCCGGGAGUGGACUGACUCCUAACCAGAGGGUUCCUGAUGGACGGUGUCCAGAGAGCAGAAAAGGCAAGCGUCCAGACAAUGUAGGAUAGCUCAAACCUCAAACGACUUCCCCUUGAAUUCUCCAUGAAAUUAAUAAAGCGCGGAAACCGG